rnacentral:rRNA from 1 species
UACGUAGGGUGCAAGCGUUGUCCGGAAUUAUUGGGCGUAAAGAGCUCGUAGGCGGUCUGUUGCGUCGGCUGUGAAAACCCGGGGCUCAACCGCGGGCCUGCAGCCGAUACGGGCAGGCUAGAGUUCGGUAGGGGAGACUGGAAUUCCUGGUGUAGCGGUGAAAUGCGCAGAUAUCAGGAGGAACACCGGUGGCGAAGGCGGGUCUCUGGGCAGUAACUGACGCUGAGGAACGAAAGCGUGGGUAGCGAACAGG